AUACGUAGGGGGCGAGCGUUAUCCGUAAUUAUUGGGCGUAAAGAGUACGUAGGUGGUUUUGUAAGCGUGAGGUGAAAGCCCGGGGCUUAACUCCGGCGAGCCUCACGAACUGCAAGACUUGAGUGCAGGAGGGGAAAGUGGAAUUCCUAGUGUAGCGGUGAAAUGCGUAGAUAUUAGGAGGAACACCGGUGGCGAAGGCGACUUUCUGGAUGGUAACUGACCAUGAGGUACGAAAUCGUGGGGAGCAAACAGGAUUAGAUCCCCUGGUAGUCCACGCCGUAAACGAUGAAUGCUAGGUGUCGGGGGUCAAACCUCGGUGCCGCCGCUAACGCAUUAAGCAUUCCGCCUGGGGAGUACGCACGCAAGUGUGAAACUCAAAGGAAUUGGCGGGG
rnacentral:rRNA from 1 species